UCUGGCCUCGCUGCACUCAUGGCUUCUCCUAGCAAGGCAGUGAUUGUUCCCGGGAAUGGAGGCGGGGAUGUGACCACCCACGGCUGGUAUGGCUGGGUGAAAAAGGAGCUGGAGAAGAUACCUGGUUUCCAGUGUUUGGCUAAAAACAUGCCCGACCCAGUUACAGCAUGAGAGAGCAUCUGGUUGCCCUUCAUGGAGACAGAGCUGCACUGUGAUGAGAAGACCAUCAUUAUCGGCCACGGUUCUAGGGCCAUCGCAGCCAUGAGGUAUGCAGAAACACAUCGAGUAUAUGCUAUUGUAUUAGUGUCUGCGUACACAUCAGACUUGGGGGAUGAAAAUGAGCGUGCAAGUGGAUACUUCACCCGCCCCUGGCAGUGGGAGAAGAUCAAGGCCAACUGCCCUUACGUUGUGCAGUUUGGCUCCACUGACGACCCAUUCCUUCCCUGGAAGGAACAACAAGAAGUGGCCGAUAGGUUGGAAACCAAAUUGCACAAAUUCACUGACCGUGGCCACUUUCAGAACACAGAGUUUCAUGAACUGAUUACUGUGGUAAAGUCUUUGCUGAAAGUACCAGCAUAGACUGUAUGACUUUUGCUAUUUCGCAUCCCAAUAUAGGGGUAGAAUAAUAUCUACUAUCAGCCGAUUACUAGACACAUGAAACAUCCAGUUAAGUUCCAAAAGUGCCUGAAAAACAAACACAAGUUUCAAUGUUCAAUCUAAGUUACAAAUAGCGUUUCCAUUUUCCAUAGACUCUAAAACUCCCCAAAUUGCUGUGAGCUACCACAGUAUUUUCCUCAUUUGGUAAGAAACGUAAGGACAGCUUAACUGCCCUUCUCUAACCAAAGUAAGUCAAAAAUAGCACCCAGGUUUCCUGAUUCCUACUCCUGAGUAAAACGAAACAGGUUUUAUGUAUGUUGCAGGUGUCGCACACUUUGCCUCUUUGAAAUCAAACUUUUCUAUUUCACUGGGGAAAGAAAACAUGACUGAAAGUCCAGAGUGUUAGCUUAGAGCUCAAAAUACUAGCUGCUGUUUCAAGCUGGCCCCGGACAUUAAACCCAGACUAGGGCCUACACCUCUGACACUUGCCCCUGAGUCCUUCAGACAUGUUGAGAGAGACUGAGACAGGAGUCUUCCAGAGUCAGGAAGGAAGGAGAAGCACAACAAUAUACAUACAUAAUAUACGUACGACUGACUAGAUUUGUUUGAGACAAGCGUGGUGGGAUCAGGGCCAUAUGGAGAGCUCAUGGCCUGUCUAAAUUGUUGCUAUGUGGAAAUUGGGCAGAGUGUUACCAAUUUUCUGAUUUUUUGUGUGGAAAAAAAGGUCCAAAUUAUGGUUUUUAAAUUUGGGGACUAUAUAUAUAUACAUACACACACAUACACAUACAAUCCAUAUACAUAUGAGUAUGUAAGUUGGCAGUAAGAGUAUACAUCAAAAAAUUUACAAAUACUGCAAGACAAAUAAAAUCCAAGCCAUCCAUUUGUGACUACAGUCAUAAGCAUUAACUUAGCCAGGGGCUUUUAGAUAAUUAUCUGUGAAGUCUGAGAAAAGACUAAGAUAACCAAAAUGAACAUAAUGUCAAAGGAUGAAAUCAUGAGGACAAUUUGGGUUUUGUUCCAAAGUCAAGUGCUUUUAAAAAGAACCUGUCCCUACUUCAUGUUCUGUUCUAUAGAGAACAGAACGUCCGUGGCCCUUUAGAGCUCUUUCAAGCACAUUCCAUUUUCUUCUGAUCAUACUUCCUCAAAAAGCCUUUUAUUUGGCUGGGUGUGGUGGGUCAUGCCUGUAAUCCCAGCACUAUGGGAGGCUGAGGUGGGUGUAUUGCUUGAGGCCAGAUGUUUGAGGCCAGCCAGGGCACAUGGUGAGACCC